UCGGGGUACUCGAGUGGCGAACGGGUGAGUAACACGUGGGUGAUCUGCCCUGCACUUUGGGAUAAGCCUGGGAAACUGGGUCUAAUACCGAAUAGGACCACGCGCUUCAUGGUGUGUGGUGGAAAGCUUUUGCGGUGUGGGAUGGGCCCGCGGCCUAUCAGCUUGUUGGUGGGGUAAUGGCCUACCAAGGCGACGACGGGUAGCCGGCCUGAGAGGGUGACCGGCCACACUGGGACUGAGAUACGGCCCAGACUCCUACGGGAGGCAGCAGUGGGGAAAUUGCACAAUGGGCGCAAGCCUGAUGCAGCGACGCCGCGUGAGGGAUGACGGCCUUCGGGUUGUAAACCUCUUUCAAUAGGGACGAAGCGCAAGUGACGGUACCUAUAGAAGAAGCACCGGCCAACUACGUGCCAGCAGCCGCGGUAAUACGUAGGGUGCGAGCGUUGUCCGGAAUUACUGGGCGUAAAGAGCUCGUAGGUGGUUUGUCGCGUUGUUCGUGAAAACUCACAGCUUAACUGUGGGCGUGCGGGCGAUACGGGCAGACUAGAGUACUGCAGGGGAGACUGGAAUUCCUGGUGUAGCGGUGGAAUGCGCAGAUAUCAGGAGGAACACCGGUGGCGAAGGCGGGUCUCUGGGCAGUAACUGACGCUGAGGAGCGAAAGCGUGGGGAGCGAACAGGAUUAGAUACCCUGGUAGUCCACGCCGUAAACGGUGGGUACUAGGUGUGGGUUCCUUCCUUGGGAUCCGUGCCGUAGCUAACGCAUUAAGUACCCCGCCUGGGGAGUACGGCCGCAAGGCUAAAACUCAAAGGAAUUGACGGGGGCCCGCACAAGCGGCGGAGCAUGUGGAUUAAUUCGAUGCAACGCGAAGAACCUUACCUGGGUUUGACAUGCACAGGACGCCGGCAGAGAUGUCGGUUCCCUUGUGGCCUGUGUGCAGGUGGUGCAUGGCUGUCGUCAGCUCGUGUCGUGAGAUGUUGGGUUAAGUCCCGCAACGAGCGCAACCCUUGUCCUAUGUUGCCAGCGGGUUAUGCCGGGGACUCGUAGGAGACUGCCGGGGUCAACUCGGAGGAAGGUGGGGAUGACGUCAAGUCAUCAUGCCCCUUAUGUCCAGGGCUUCACACAUGCUACAAUGGCCGGUACAAAGGGCUGCGAUGCCGUGAGGUGGAGCGAAUCCUUUCAAAGCCGGUCUCAGUUCGGAUCGGGGUCUGCAACUCGACCCCGUGAAGUCGGAGUCGCUAGUAAUCGCAGAUCAGCAACGCUGCGGUGAAUACGUUCCCGGGCCUUGUACACACCGCCCGUCACGUCAUGAAAGUCGGUAACACCCGAAGCCG
rnacentral:rRNA from 1 species